rnacentral:lncRNA from 10 species
AUAGAACCAGUUGGAUAAUGUUCAUUUCUUUCACAAUAUAUACAUAGUAGAAGUUAUUUGUUCCUUGAAAGCUUUAUAAAGCUCACUUAUUAAAUUUUCUAGCCUUAAUGUUGGAGAAAGGGGUCGGGACACUCUAGAAUACUGAAAUAAUAGCUUUAAUUGUGCCAAGGUUUAAUAGUUAUUAUUUUUUAAGUUUUCUAUUCCUUCCCAACAUAAUUUUUGGUAAUUCUUCUAUAAAUUAUGCAUUGUAUCUAAAUAUUAAAAUGUAUUGGAUGAAAGUUAUUAAUAAUAUUCAUAAAUGAUUUCAAAAGUUGCCAUUGGAUCUAUAAUCAUGUCCUAUUAUCAUUUCAUUUGUUAUUUAUUUAUAUCUUUUUUCCACUUUAUCAGUCUUGUAAAAAGAACCAGAUUUUAGUUCCUGAUACUAUUGUUCCUUUGUUUUCAUUUUAUGAAUUUUUGCUUUUACAUAUGUAACAUCCUUUCUUCUUUCUUUCAGCUUAUUCCACUCUUUUUCUAUUUUCUUGAAUUAAAUCUAUAUUCAUUUAAUUUCCAAGCACUUUUAUUUUCCAAUAAAUUCAUUUAUCUUUCCCUUUACAUAUUACUUAUUAAACAGUUUUAUUUUCAGUCUCAUUUUAGAGAGGGAGGAUCUUGUUUUCUUUCUCCCUUUACCACUGUGUCACCAUGUCUUCUUAUGUGAUAGUUUGCCACUUCCUCCACUAAAGUCAAGACCCAGCUUAUUCAAUGUCAGUCUGAGGCUUCUGCUCCAAGGUAUGAUUAGGAAUUUGCAGAUCCAGACAUGAAGACAGAAGGUGGCUCUGCUCAUUACCUGGUCUCAAGAGACCACAGUUUUCUAUAGAGCCACAGCCCCUGGCAGGAGGCUAACAAGAGGGGACAAAUGUUUUUCUUUUCUUUUUUUUUUUUUUAAGUGUGGUUUUCCAGAAAAUAAAGAUAGUUCCAUUCCAGGAACAAUCAAGAAUACAGUAAAAUCUGAAAUAAUUUAUAUUUACCUUUCUGAUAAAUUAUUGGUAAUAAUAUUCAAAAGGUUAAGAAAACUACUUAUUCCUUCUUAUGAAAAAUUGAUAUACAAAAACCUUUACAUAAAAGAGAAAGAACUUGAGGGGAAAUAACCCAUACGAAAUGGUAAAAUAUUUGCCUUAAUGAUUCCUGUUAUGCUUCUCCAAUAUUCUGUAGAUAUCUGUUGAUCAUUAACCACUUGAGCGGGAUGACAGGGCAUAAAAAAGAGAGCUAGAGCUCGAAUCCACUGCCAAUUGAAAAUAGCCACUGACUUUGGGUGCCUGUGAUUGCAAAUUUUUUUAAAAGUGAUUUCUAAUAGUAAGGGACACGUCAUUUACUUGAUAAGCUAAAAUAUCCUUUAAACCACAAUGUAUGUGAAUGAGGAAAUAAAAUGUUUUCUUUAGAAAAACAACAUUUAAAUAUAAAUCUUUAGGUUAUGGCUAUGCAAAGGAUGCCAACAGAAAUACAGAAAAUAAGGAUCAGUAUAAUUGAGAAAGCCGGGGUGUGAAAAGGACAUCUGUGUUAAAAAAAAAAAAAAAAAAAAAAAAAAAAGACAAAUGCUGCGUAUUCUCACUUAUACGUGGAAUCUAGAACAACUAAAUUCAUGGAAGCAGAGAGUAGAAUGGUGGUUCCUAAAGACUGAGUAGGAGGGGAACAGGAGGACGUUGAUCAAAAGAUACCCAGUUUCAUUUUAGGAAGGAAUGAUAAUUUUUGUGUGUGUGAUCUAUUGUGCAACAUGGUGGCUAUAGUUAUUAAUAAUGUACUGUGUAUUUCGAAAUCACUGAGUAAAUUUCAAAUAUUCUCCCACAAAAAAUGAUAAAUAUUUGAGGUGAUGGAUAUGUUAAUUACCUUGAUUUAAUCAUUCCACAUUUUGUACAAGUAUCAUAAUAUCACAUUGUACUCCAUAGUACAUAGUAUAGUAAAAAUACAGUAUUAUAAUCUUCUGGUACCACUGUCGUAUAUGUCAUUGGUUGUUGGUCGAAAUGUUAUUAUAGGGUACAUGAUUGUAUAUUGUGGCCCAUCACUCAGGUUACUCCUACAAGACGAUGUUACAACUGCAAGAUCUGCCUUUCCUGUCAUUUAAUUUUUCUUUGAUAUGUUCAUUCUCUUUAUCUUUUGUGGUAGGUUCAGUAAGAAUCCCUUGGCUUAAUUUCUACCGUAUUGAUUUUUCUAUUUGGCUUUUUAAAUAUAUGAUUUCAGUCUUUUAUUAUUGAAAAUUUCAGAUGUAUGUUAAAAUAGAAAGAAAUAGUAAAACCCAUGUACUUAUCAUUAAAUAUCUUCAACAGUUAUGAACAAGCGACCCAUUUUGUUUCAUCUACCAGCACUGAAUUGAUUUAGCUUUAAUUUUUAUGAUCUCUGUUUAAUUAUUUUUUAUGAGUUAAAUGUUUCUUGCAGCAUUCUGGGUUUUUCAGAUAUUCAUAAUGUGUUUACUGUACUUAAAUAUGUCGGCCCCCUUUUACUGUAUUCUUAAAUGUUUGAUGAUUCUUGAUUGUGCUCUUCAUUUUAUGGCUGAAAUUUCUGAUUAGAUUGUCUGCUGCAUAUUUGCAUAACCCAGGUAAGGGUUAAGGAUUCUAAUGAGCUGCUGGAAUUUGUGCAGCAGUGUGUUUGAGAGAUGUUCUUGAGGGUGCAGAAUGUGCUACUGGACCAAGCGCAUCAGCAGCAGGUCUCCUGGAUGUGAGUACACUCCACUUCUCAGUCUUGCCAACCACUUGGAAUUCUGCCUUAUUUCUCAGACCCAAACUCCCACAUGCUAGUGCCUGACGAUGCAGACAUCCUGGCUGGCCAAGAAGUAACAUACUGGGAGUCUGUUUCCUAGAUGCUCUUGCUAUGAUACCCAAUUAAUUACCCUGAGGAUGACCACUGCCUCUGUCUCCUCAGCAUCCACCUCCUCUCCAGCAUCUGCUCCCAUUAUCUGCCUAAUGCUGCUCUGCUUCAAUUUGCUUUCUAUAUUUCAGGCAUUCCCCCUAGGUUCUAGUCAGUGAGAUGUUCCCUUUCUGUUGUUUUAAUGUAGUUAUGAAUUUUAAUGAUUGACUUUCCUAGGUGCCAUAUGGGAGUUAAUAAGAGUUUGGGCUCUGGCCCAGCAUGGUGGCUCACACCCGUAAUCCUUUGGGAGGCCGAGACAGGUGGAUCACUUGAGGUCAGGUGUUUGAGACCAGCCUGGCCACCAUGGUGAAACACUGUCUCUACUAAAAAUACAAAAUUAGCCUGGCGUGGUAGUGCACACCUGUAGUCCCAGCUACCCAGGAGGCUGAGGCACAAGAAUAGCUUGAACCCGGGAGGCAGAGGUUGCAGUGAGCGAUCAUGCCAGUGUACUCCAGCCUAGUACAUCUAGAGGUAUAUAUGUCUAAGAAGUUAAAUGGACAUUUGGAAACAAUGGUGCCUCUGGGUAACACCGUCUUGCCAAUAAGGUAGUUAUAUGCUCUACUUUCAAUAAAAUUGAAGAAGAACCUAAUCAACCCAUUAUCCAAUGAAUCAUUGCAAUUCUGUCAAUGACAAAUAACUAUAUGAUAGU